CGUGUAGGCGGCUUGGUAAGUCUGGUGUGAAACCUUGGGGCUCAACCCCAAGCCUGCACUGGAUACUGCCUCGCUUGAGUCCGGGAGGGGAGAGCGGAAUUCCUAGUGUAGCGGUGAAAUGCGCAGAUAUUAGGAAGAACACCGGUGGCGAAGGCGGCUCUCUGGAACGGUACUGACGCUGAGACGCGAAAGCGUGGGGAGCGAACAGGAUUAGAUACCCUGGUAGUCCACGCCGUAAACGAUGGGCACUAGAUGUGGGCGGUGUCGACUCCGUCCGUGUCGAAGCUAACGCAUUAAGUGCCCCGCCUGGGGAGUACGGCCGCAAGGCUAAA
rnacentral:rRNA from 1 species